GUUAUCGUUAUCGCAAGCUUUCAGUGCUGUUCAUUUGUUGCAAUCAAAUAAUAUGACAAAUACACAGCUGCUCGAUAAGUAUCGUUAUCGUAAAUUUACAGUGUUGUCCAUUUAUUUUUGUGAAAUAUUAUAUUAUUAUAAUUAAAAACUAAGCAAUAUUGUUCGAAAAUAAUGACAAUGUUGCGGCAUUGCAUGUGUUUAUUUAUUGCAUUGAAUAAUUGCAACUAACGAAUUUCAAUUUACGCGAAUCCAUGGAAAUAAUAUACGAAUAAAAUAUUCAGCUGGCAAAUAAUUUAGGUGAAUGCAAACAUUUUGAUUGCGUAGUUUAUCACAUUUUAUGGUUUAUGCCGAAUGCGAAAAUUUCUAAAGCUGCCUGUUAUAUAGAGAUAUGCAUUUUUCGAGUAUUUCAUUAAAACAAAGCGGGCAACGGCGAGUUGCGGACGGUGGAGACAAAAGAAUUAUAAAUAAAUUGUUAAGCGUUAACGCAAACGUUACGUUAACGUGGUCGAGAGCAGUCUAGACCAAAUAAAUCAAGAUGCAGAUGGGUUCAUUAAACGUUCAGCACAAAGCACAACUCAAUUCGAACACACUACUCAAGCAAACUUGACCCAAACGAGAGAAGAUUGACUGAAGUCCAAAGUGCAAAACUGAAUCCCAAUACGCAAUGCUCAAUAUAUUUUUUGCUAUUCAUGGUGGAUAAACGAAACGAAAGCACGCAGAAUUCACAGGAUGUGGCAGGACAUUGAAGUGGCCAUCACGAACCACAAUUACCGCACUUUAUAGCACUCAUAAUAUUACUGCUUAUCCAGGCAACUACUAUUCAAGCUUGGCACACUUGAGUGUGUCAAGUUUCAGCGACUCUUUGCUUAAUUGUGCUAAAAGAUUUCGGGGGCCUUAUCGACUGCGCGUCAUAAGCCUAUUUAUAAGUUGGCCUAAUCUGGCCGAGGACUCUCCUACGCUAUCCACCGACCCACCGUUGUGCACAGUUGGUCCUUUUUUAAUGGGCGUUGCGGCCAUUUUGAAUGCAGAUGCUGUAACAGAAAGUGUAGUUGUAGUUGUGGCCGUAACUGACCGCUGGCAGUGUCGCUCAGCGGGCGACAACGUCGGAAGCAUUGUGACUUGUCUCCGGACUCCGGCCUGGACUUGUGCGUAACCUUUGAACCAUUAAGAUAAGCGCCACCAGCAAAAAAAAAAGCCCAGAGAAAUCUCCCAAAGUGAGCGCAAGAGAGCAAAAGAAAGAGACGAGAAGAGAGCGGAGCAACAUAGAGAAAAAGCAAAAAUCGUUGGGCGCAAAACGUGGCUGACAAACAAAAGCGCAGAAAUGAAUUAUUUCACUCGCCAGGGCUUUGUAUACUCAGCAAAUAGUCUGGCAGAUGGGCAUGCACGACUUAG